GAUGAACGCUGGCGGCGUGCCUAAUACAUGCAAGUCGAGCGAACAGACGAGGAGCUUGCUCCUCUGACGUUAGCGGCGGACGGGUGAGUAACACGUGGAUAACCUACCUAUAAGACUGGGAUAACUUCGGGAAACCGGAGCUAAUACCGGAUAAUAUAUUGAACCGCAUGGUUCAAUAGUGAAAGACGGUUUUGCUGUCACUUAUAGAUGGAUCCGCGCCGCAUUAGCUAGUUGGUAAGGUAACGGCUUACCAAGGCAACGAUGCGUAGCCGACCUGAGAGGGUGAUCGGCCACACUGGAACUGAGACACGGUCCAGAAUCCUACGGGAGGCAGCAGUAGGGAAUCUUCCGCAAUGGGCGAAAGCCUGACGGAGCAACGCCGCGUGAGUGAUGAAGGUCUUCGGAUCGUAAAACUCUGUUAUUAGGGAAGAACAAAUGUGUAAGUAACUAUGCACGUCUUGACGGUACCUAAUCAGAAAGCCACGGCUAACUACGUG
rnacentral:rRNA from 1 species